AGAGGGUGAUCGGCCACACUGGAACUGAGACACGGUCCAGACUCCUACGGGAGGCAGCAGUAGGGAAUCUUCCGCAAUGGGCGAAAGCCUGACGGAGCAACGCCGCGUGAGUGAUGAAGGUCUUCGGAUCGUAAAACUCUGUUAUUAGGGAAGAACAUAUGUGUAAGUAACUGUGCACAUCUUGACGGUACCUAAUCAGAAAGCCACGGCUAACUACGUGCCAGCAGCCGCGGUAAUACGUAGGUGGCAAGCGUUAUCCGGAAUUAUUGGGCGUAAAGCGCGCGUAGGCGGUUUUU
rnacentral:rRNA from 1 species